CACCGCGGUUAUACGAGAGGCCCAAGUUAAUAGAACCUCGGCGUAAAGCGUGGUUAAAUGUAUUAUAACUAAAGCCGAAUAUUCUCAAAGCUGUUAUACGCACCUGAGAACCAGAAGUCCCACUACGAAAGUGGCUUUAUUAAAUUUGAAUCCACGAAAGCUAGGACA
rnacentral:rRNA from 1 species